rnacentral:rRNA from 2 species
UUGCWCACAGAGCUUCACGUUUGGGACCACAGUUGGAAACSACUGCUAWUACCGGAUGUGCCUACGGGUGAAAGGCUUGCUGCCUGAAGAARAGCUUGCGUCCGAUUAGCUAGUUGGUAAGGUAAAGGCUUACCAAGGCAUYGAUCGGUAGCUGGUCUGAGAGGAUGACCAGCCACACUGGGACUGAGACAAGGCCCAGACUCCUACGGGAGGCAGCAGUGGGGAAUUUUCCGCAAUGGGCGAAAGCCUGACGGAGCAAUACCGCGUGAGGGAAGAAGGCUCUUGGGUUGUAAACCUCUUUUCUCAGGGAAUAAAAAAAUGAAGGUACCUGAGGAAUAAGCAUCGGCUAACUCCGUGCCAGCAGCCGCGGUAAUACGGAGGAUGCAAGCGUUAUCCGGAAUGAUUGGGCGUAAAGCGUCCGCAGGUGGUACAACAAGUCUAGUGUCAAAGACCGGGGCUCAACCCCGGAAAGGCGGUGGAAACUGUUGAACUAGAGGGUCGUAGGGGUAGAGGGAAUUCCCAGUGUAGCGGUGAAAUGCGUAGAGAUUGGGAAGAACAUCGGUGGCGAAGGCGCUCUACUGGACGGCAACUGACACUCAGGGACGAAAGCUAGGGGAGCGAAUGGGAUUAGAUACCCCA